ensembl:lncRNA
GAGAUUUUGGGGUUAAAGUAGGCCUAGUUGCACAGGUAGGACUAGGGCUUAAUUUUGCUUUGGAUGGUUGUUUAAACCAUGCCCGAGAUAAGAGUGCCUGCAUAGACAAUAGGCCCAUUGUUACCAGGAUGAAACGCAAUCCUCAGCAAGCAAGGAGCCCUUUCUAGACUGGUCAAAUGUUUGUAUGGCAUCUGUGGCAGUGUUUAAGGAUAAUUGGGGCAAGCAGGUGAAUUCCAUUGCAACAAAUGCCAUUCAGGUAGGCUAGUGAGUCAUUGGUCAUGGCAAUUUAGUUAACAUUUCCUUGAAAGUGAGCCAAGUUGAUAACUUAGGCCUGCAAAUUAAUGACCCAUGGCAUUUGAAUGCAAUUUGAUACAAAUAAAUUAAACUUCCAAGUGGGAGAGGCAGAAUUCAGCAAAGACUUUUAAGCCACGCUGGGACAAAGACAUUGGAACUGAAUCAGAUGAAGUGGAACCACUACAAUAAAGCAGCGUAGUAGUCAACUAAAAUGCUGCCUAGCCAUCAUUAGAGCUGUAUGCGCCAGGCCCAUGCCUGUAGGAGAGUCCCUCAAAAAGCAAUACUUGCAACACUACAAGUGUAAGAGACAAUCUUUUUAUUGUACAGACAAUUGCUUUAUUAACAAAGUUCUAAAAGCACGGCAUAUUAAUUAUGAUCCAAGAUCUGAUACAUUUGCAAUACAAAUAUAGAGGCAUUUAUCAGUGUAUACAAAUAUGAUUAAGGAGUAAUCAUUUCCACAAUGCGCCUCCAACAACAUCGUUGAUAUCACAGGCACGGGCGACUUUACAUUUAGCCUACUCUAGUCCAUGACGAUCGUACAGACACGCAACAAUAUCAAACAAAACAGCUGAUCCAUCCAAGUCCAACUCUGUUGUCGAGGCUACUUAGUUGGUUUAAAACCCAAAAACAAAAAGGUUCGCAGAUCUUAAAACAAAUAACUUUCCCCGGGGGAGGUUGGUUCGUUCAUGGACGCACCUGCUCCAGUGAUGUUGCCCAUGCUGCCUCUGGUGUUAGGCCUUGCAGUGCGUUUAGUGCUGGACAAUCGGUUUCAUGAUAGAAUUAGCAACGCCCGUAAAAGAGAAAGGCCGUCAUCACGGUUGGGAGCAGCAAAGAAGCGCUCGACCGCACGCCCUCUCCCGCGACACUAGUGCCGUUGCCCGGUUUGGUUGAAUUGGUGGAGUAGGUAGCGCUUGUUAUCGCUUUCGGGUUUUCUUCUGCACCUACCAGCUGAAAAAGUAAAUAGGAAAAGUUGGUCAUUGGGAGGGUGCGUGUCACAAAUUUGUCUUUGACGCAUUUCGCGACAAAUUUUUUGGAGGUAAGAACACUUUUAUUUGAACUGCCAGUAUUAUACAAAAAUAUCUAGGCCUAUUAGCUCCAGUUUUAUAAAGCAAGUUAAAAUUAUCGAAACUUGCAAAAGUUGCAUAAAUCAGCACUUCAUGAGAAUAUUAAGCUAGGUGUAGAAUACAAAUAGGCCCGUUGAAAUUUUGAUUCCUUAAAGCAACAACAUUAACUGAACUUUAAAUGAUGUCCGAUUAAAAUCAAGUGACAAUGGAAUAAAAUGUUGAAGGACAGUUGUAAAAAUCUCACCAUUGAUGCAAAAUGCAGAGCAAAUAGGAAUCCAACGAGAAAAGUGGCCAAUUUAUUCAUAUUCGCGGUAUUCCUGUAAACUGCUGUGCUUCGUUGGCCGUGCAGUGUCGCUUAUCUUCAGGAAGGGAAUGACUGAUGUGCGGUCGAACGACCCUUUAUAGGGCUGGCGCUACGUCAUCAAACCACCUGUUCCAUCUUAAGACAUUAACGCAAAAUCGCCAAUUACAUUUUGUCAGUUGUUAUUAAUUUGGACUUAUGCUCUUACUUUUUUUUUUUUUACUAACAAUUACAUUUUUAGGCCUUCAUUUACAAAAAAUAUGUAACAAAAAUUAA